GACGAACGCUGGCGGCGUGCUUAACACAUGCAAGUCGAACGGAAAGGCCCUGCUUUUGUGGGGUGCUCGAGUGGCGAACGGGUGAGUAACACGUGAGUAACCUGCCCUUGACUUCGGGAUAACUUCAGGAAACUGGGGCUAAUACCGGAUAGGAGCUCCUGCUGCAUGGUGGGGGUUGGAAAGUUUCGGCGGUUGGGGAUGGACUCGCGGCUUAUCAGCUUGUUGGUGGGGUAGUGGCUUACCAAGGCUUUGACGGGUAGCCGGCCUGAGAGGGUGACCGGCCACAUUGGGACUGAGAUACGGCCCAGACUCCUACGGGAGGCAGCAGUGGGGAAUAUUGCACAAUGGGCGGAAGCCUGAUGAAGCAACGCCGCGUGCGGGAUGACGGCCUUCGGGUUGUAAACCGCUUUCGCCUGUGACGAAGCGUGAGUGACGGUAAUGGGUAAAGAAGCACCGGCUAACUACGUG
rnacentral:rRNA from 1 species